rnacentral:lncRNA from 1 species
ACCACUUCUGUGGCUCUGGCAUUGGCUGCUGUAACAGCCUUGAGUAAGAAAGGCUAUUGAGGACUCAAGAGCCUUGGUUUCCAGGCCCCUGGAUUGGUCUUGAGAUCUGGCAGAGAGACCAUUUCAGUUCCGUCUAAGAGGCCGCCAGGCCUCAAGAUAAUGAUCUCUAGCAGGACUUUGCCCUGAAUGCACAGCCUUUCCCCUGCUUCCACAGCUUGGUUCCCCAGAAGCUCCAAGUUGUUUUGCUCCAGCAGAAACCUGGCCCUACCACUUGCCACCCUCCAUCCCACAAACGAGGGCGGGCCUUGGCUCAACCCUUGUCCAGUAAGCCGGACAGGCUGUCUGGAGUACAUCAGAUAAGAGGCGGUAACAGCUGGGUGGGUUAGAAUAAAUGCUGCUUUAUUUACCAGCGCCCAGGGAGAGGGCAUUUACUCUCUGAUGGACGUCAGGCAGUAAAUGACUGAGGACAGCUGGGUAGAGGCUGGACGGAGCCCAGAGAGUGAGCUCAAGCCUUGUCAGAAGAAGGACCUCCAGUCCCUGAUUCUAGUCCACUGUCAUUAUGCACAAGAGACUGUGAUACAAGAUACUCU